GAUUAAAUGCCUCCCAGAAUACUGGGCUGCAAACGGAGAGGCAGAAGUGAAGUGAGGAAACUCAGGGUUGCGUUCCUUCGUAUCUGCGUCCUGAGAAGGAAGCGGCAGGCAUAUGCUUCAUCAUUAAAUAAAACACAAAACCCUCCGUUGCUCUGCUCCCUCGUGCACUGUCACACUUGCAAGCAGCCUGCCAACAGACCGAUGCGUAUUUACGUGGAGCAAAUACCAGUGUCCAAAGAGUUAAAGAAAUUCCCGAAAGCAUCAAGAAAGGCGAAUAAAGAGAUCAAGUUCAAACUCUCAUAAUCUGCAUUUGCCACCUGACUUUAUCUCUACCUGUCUGUAACUGAUUUGCUCUGAGCUUCCCAAGGAGGGAGUCCAGUGCGGUAGUUCCAGGGACACAGUGCAGCUUCCUACUGGCACUGGGAGCUGCAGUCACAGGUCAAGAAAUCCUGGCUCUCCUGCUCUUUGCCCCAACUUCCUCCUUUAAUCAUUUGCUUUGCUUAUGGGGCUGAAGCUAACGUAGGCAUUUGAGAAUAACGAUGCUGCCACGGCAGGACAAGACUGCUGGAUCCAGGGAUUCACACUGAGACUCGGUCAGCUGACACCUCCCUGAGCAGUGCCCAUGAUAGAUGGCAUCGGAAUGGAGACGGAGAUGAAGGGCCCGAUUGCCAACCAGCCACGUUACAGUGUGAUGCAAUACGUUGCUCCGCUCCCAUCUCGCACAAUAAGCCACGUGACAGCACGUCAAGACAUUUGUGGAAAAAUGGAAUUAACAGGUAAUUAAAGGGAAGCAGGAGUACAGACCGUGUAGCCAUGUCUGGAUUUACAGUGUCACUCACCAGCCAUGUGACCUUGGGAAAGCCCCGUAACCGAGCACAUGAGGGGCCACCUUUUGAGGAAGCCAGUGAACAAGGUGACAGCCGCGUGCAUCUCUGAGGACCACUGUGACUACCCCGUGAGUUAAGACUGAGACACACCUGGAGAAAACGAGAGAACUAUAAAAGAAUCUACAAUAAGAGAAAGAAAAACACCCUGGCUUGACAGCAGUGCACAAAAAUAAACCCUAGAAAAUGCGCAGAUGAUAAUAAAGCGAUCGUGCCAAAGAUGGGCAUUUCUAGAAAUGAUGUGUGCUGGAGACGACUGGGUAUGUGGCCGCCGCCGAUCUGUAGGGCCCCGGCUUCCUCAUUAGCCAACUUUGUUUAAAAAAUGUUGUUUAUUUACAAGUGCAGAAGUUUCAAUGUCCCUAGCCAGAAAUGCUUUUUUCUUAUUUUUUGGGGGGGAGGGGAGGGGGAGAAGCAUGGAUCAUACCUUAGAGCUGUCAACAAAACUAUGUGAUUUUUUAAAAUUAUCCUAAACCCCCAACUUAUACAUAAA